rnacentral:piRNA from 1 species
UGUGAAGACUAUUGGCUACUGAUGAGUC